GUAGUUACCAAGUUCCCUCAGAUGAAGGAAGGGAGAACCCUAAUCUGAAGAGGGGAGGUCUGAAGUGGACAGGAACAGUAUCAAGGAGACCACAGGAGGCAAAACAUUAAAAGUUGAAGAAACAGCAUAAAUAACAGAAGACUGAAACUAAGCUGAUUGGAUCAAGGACAGACACCUGACCAAGGACAGUCACGCUGUGCUUUAUGUCCCGGCAGAAAAAGGCUCUGAUUUGUAUCCUAAAGGAGUAGUCCAACGGAAAUAGGCAAAUGCCAGCAAUGGGAGAAGAAUUAGACUCCACUUCUUGAUGAGAGAGUGGUAAGUUUGUAGAAUAACUUGUGAGGUAAGAUAUGAUGUUGUGGCUAUCUUUGAAAAAUAUAAUCAUCACAUGCAUUCUCUGGACUCAUAGUAAAUAUCCAUUCUUACAGUCCCACCUCCAUGAACCUUUGGACCACUUUCUCAAUCUAUUCCAAGAAGUUCCGGCUUCUACAAUUAUCUCUUUUGCUCUAGGUCAAGUUUCAAGGAGUCAUCCCAGAAGAGUAUUAGGAUCAUGUCCAUAAGUUCUGACAUGGCAUUGAAUCCUGAGUUAUAGUUGAGAAAUCCCAGAUCAAAAAAUUCUCCCCUAUCUAGACUUUUAUUCCAACAUUCUCAUUAUCUACACUAACUGUCCAUUCAUACAUGGCCUCCUAAAUCCUGCUAAUACUAUUAGUUAGUUCUUGCAAUUCCAUGCUAUUUAAGGUAUUUCUUCCAAGAGCAGAGACUGCACAUAGUAAUUAUUCAGAGAUUUGACCUUGGUCAUUGGCCUGGAGGCAAUGAGGUAUUUCAAGGGUAAGUCUUGCAUCAUCUUGCAAGGCACUAGCCUCAGAUGAGGUCAUUGCAAGUUCUCCAUGCAAGGGAACCUCCUCUCUUCUGGCAAAGAGCCUACUUCAGCAAAAUGAAAGAUUCAGGAGAAUGUUGGAGUUUGUGAUUCUUGGGCUUGUCCACCCUAAAGUCCUCAUUUCAGUUCUCAAGUCCAACCCUUUACCUAUAUGGCAUCUGACUCUGAUCUAGAAGAUCUAUCCAGAUGCUGCAUCUUAAUCCAGUUUAAGCUCUGCCAUUCUUAUGAUUGUGUUCCAAACCCAAUUUUCAGUCAACUCUGCCCUGUAGCUGAAGGAGAUGACUUUCUCCUUCAAAGCUUCCACAUAGGCCCUCUGGGUUUCACAGUUUGUUUAGCCUUGAUGAUUGGCUCUUCUGAGACUUCAUUUUCUUUUUUUUCAAGGCUUCCAACACACUUAACAAAAACUAGCCUAUACCAAAAUCCUUAUAAUCACUCUAGUUAUCAUGGCUCCCAUACCAUUCAGAUGUCUCACCUUCUACCUAUACCUCAUAUUAAUCAGCUGAAGGAGAAAGUCUUAAUAAUUGUGAUGCUAUUGAAUAACAGAGGUUCUUACCACCAGUAGGGGAGGAGGGAGUUCUUAUUAAUGUCUAACCAUUAAGUAAUCCAGCUUCAAAACCCUUUUCUGAGGGUCUGCUUUCCAAGGCUAUUCCUGGUACCAUCUUUCAUGAUCUGUUUUCCCCAGAGAGAAGAACCUGAAACAAGGGCUUUAUGCAUAUGUUGCUAAAUCCAGUGGGACCAUCUGAGAAACCAUAUAAAAUGCAUAUCAGGUCUGUCCAUCCCAGGAGAGAAAGGUAUUGAUUCACAGAAUAGAAGAUGAUGAAUAAAUGUUUCUUCUGGAUUAAAGCCUCUAUUUCUGAAAUUUCUUAUCAGUUACCUUAUUUCUUAUAAUUGAUUUUACAGAGUCUAUAAAAUCAAAAACUCUUAGAUUAGGAUGAAUUUAGAGGGAAUCCAAUUCAACCUUUUACUCAAAAGAAACCCCAGCUAUAAGAUUCCUGACAAAUGAUGGUGCUGCUUUACACUUAAUUUAUUAGUCUUCAGUCACAAGAAGUUUACUAUCUCAGGAGAAGUUUUUCAAAUGAUAUGUUUGUCUCUUAAAGUGAGAACAAUCUUGAGGACAAAGUAAUUUAAAAGCCUUAAUAAUAAUGACAGCAAACACUUAACAUUGCUCUUACAGCGUGCCAGGCACAGUUCUGAUUACUUUUCAAUUGUUAAUACGUUUAAUUGUGACUCUAAUGCUAUCAUGUAGGCACUAUUCAUAUCCUUAUUUUACAGACAGUUUAACUAACUUGCCCAAGGUCACAUGAUUAGUAAGUAGCAGAAAUGGGGUUUGAAAUCAAGCCAUCUGGCUCCAGUGUCUGCCCUUUUAAACGUUACAUAAAGAAAAUAAUUUCCAGAGCUUCCACUUUUCUUUCCUUUUUUCUCAUUUGCCAUUGCUCCUUUAUUUUUCAUAAGGCUUCUAUGAUCUCUAGGCCAAAUGAGAUUCCAAAAAUAACAAUUUUAAUUUCCAAAUCGAGGGCAUGAUUUCUAAAUGGACCAAGUUAUUUUUGUGAACUCUACAUAAAAUUCAGGAACAGAACUUUGGGAAGGAACUUCCAGAUGGCAGUAAAUCUUCACAGUUCAGUAAUUAAGCCUUUUGAGAAUGUUACUCUGUGAUGGAGCCACUGCCUGAUUAACUGUACAAUAUCAAUUAUAUCAAACGGCACUACUUUAAUUCUGUCAAAAUUUAGAGAAAUCUGACACGCUGACACGAGACUCUGUGAAGUGUGAUAAUGAGCUGCCAAGUGUCAUAAAGUGC